GUUUUGCGGUUUUGAAACGGUUUCGGUUUCAAAACCGAACCGCGGCACACAAAACGGUUUGGUUUCGGUUUUGGGUUUUCAAAACCGCACCGAAACCGAAACCGCACUUUUUUAUUUUUAUUUAGUUCAUUCAACUAGGUUUAGGUUAUACUUAUACAUUUGGUUUGCGGUUCUGGGUUUGCGCCUCCUUGCAUCUCCGCAUCUGGCCUUUGCGAGCGACCUGGUCACCUGACUGCGUGCGAGCGACUGCCUGCGAGGCUGCGAGCGACUGCCUUCUGCAACUGCUUCUGCUUUUGCAGCUUGCUUCUGCUUCUGCGACUGCUUCUGCGGCUUGCUUUCAUCUCUGCCUUGCCUCCAAUCUUGGAGUCGACACACGCAGAGGGAUUUGAAGAGGGAGAAUAUAAAGGUUUUUUAUUGAAGGCGACGAUGGCUAGUCAAGGCGGUUCUUCGAAGAGAACAGAAUUGACGAACACAUCGUUGCAGGACAAGAAGAAACCCUCUGAUGCUAGUAACGGAGGCCCUUCAGAAAAUGGUGCAAGGGAAAUUCAGACAUUUGCCUGUUGUGGAGAAUGGAGAGGUCAUUGCUUUACUUGAUAUAGCAAAGUGUUUAUAUGAUGCCAUUGCUCGAAUGGAAAGAGCAGCUGAAAAGGGAAAGGCUAUUGUUGCUGCUGUGGAAGGUGUUGAAAAACAUUGGGGCACAUCUGGUUCUGGUUAGUAGAGAGUUUAGUGUUUUCUUUAGAACUUUAUGUCAGAGUCUUAAGAUAUUUUUGCAGUUUUGGUGGAAUAUCUGUGUUUUUUUUUGGUAGACUUGCGUGAUGACGAGUAGUCAGUUUUCUGAAGAAAAAAAACAAUAUUAAC